rnacentral:rRNA from 1 species
GAUAAACGCUGGCGGCGUGCCUAAUGCAUGCAAGUCGAACGGGAGCCCCUUCGGGGGUCGACCGUGGCGGACGGGUGAGGAACACGUAGCUAACCUGCCCAGGCGUGGGGGAUAUCCACC